rnacentral:rRNA from 1 species
UACGAGGGGUGCAAGCGUUGCUCGGAAUUAUUGGGCGUAAAGGGUGCGUUGGCGGUUUUGUAAGUCUUGUGUGAAAUCUUCAGGCUCAACUUGAAGACUGCACGAGAAACUGCAGGGCUUGAGUGUGGGAGAGGUGAGUGGAAUUCCUGGUGUAGCGGUGAAAUGCGUAGAUAUCAGGAGGAACACCGGUGGCGAAGGCGGCCAUCUGGACCGCAACUGACGCUGAGGCGCGAAAGCGUGGGGAGCAAACAGG